rnacentral:rRNA from 1 species
GACGAACGCUGGCGGCGUGCUUAACACAUGCAGGUCGAACGGAAAGGCCCUGCUUGCAGGGUACUCGAGUGGCGAACGGGUGAGUAACACGUGGGUGAUCUGCCCUGCACUUCGGGAUAAGCCUGGUAAACUGGGUCUAAUACCGGAUAGGAGCCAUUUUUAGUGUGAUGGUUGGAAAGUUUUUUCGGUGUAGGAUGAGCUCGCGGCCUAUCAGCUUGUUGGUGGGGUAAUGGCCUACCAAGGCGGCGACGGGUAGCCGGCCUGAGAGGGUGGACGGCCACAUUGGGACUGAGAUACGGCCCAGACGCCGACGGGAGGCAGCAGUGGGGAAUAUUGCACAAUGGGCGCAAGCCUGAUGCAGCGACGCCGCGUGGGGGAUGACGGACUUCGGGUUGUAAACUCCUUUCGCUAGGGACGAAGCUUUUUGUGACGGUACCUAGAUAAGAAGCACCGGCUAACUACGUG